rnacentral:snRNA from 1 species
UUCCCUUGAUCUGGCCUGUUGGCUAAGAUCAAGCGUAGUACCUGUUCUUAUCAGUUUAUUACCUGAUAAGUCUGUCUUAGAGCUGGCAUGCUUGCAUCUCCU